rnacentral:rRNA from 1 species
UACGUAGGGGGCUAGCGUUGUCCGGAAUCAUUGGGCGUAAAGCGCGCGUAGGCGGCCCGGUAAGUCCGCUGUGAAAGUCAAAGGCUCAACCUUUGAAUGCCAGCGGAUACUGCCGGGCUAGAGUCCGGAAGAGGCGAGUGGAACUCCUGGUGUAGCGGUGGAAUGCGCAGAUAUCAGGAAGAACACCAACGGCGAAGGCAGCUCGCUGGGACGGAACUGACGCUAAGGCGCGAAAGCGUGGGGAGCGAACAGG